rnacentral:rRNA from 1 species
GACGAACGCUGGCGGCGUGCUUAACACACGCAAGUCGAACGGAAAGGCCCUGCUUUUGUGGGGUGCUCGAGUGGCGAACGGGUGAGUAACACGUGAGUAACCUGCCCUUGACUUUGGGAUAACUUCAGGAAACUGGGGCUAAUACCGGAUAGGAGCUCCUGCUGCAUGGUGGGGGUUGGAAAGUUUCGGCGGUUGGGGAUGGACUCGCGGCUUAUCAGCUUGUUGGUGGGGUAGUGGCUUACCAAGGCUUUGACGGGUAGCCGGCCCGAGAGGGAGACCAGCAACAUGGAAGCUAAGAUGCGACCCAGACUGCUGGGGGAGGCCGCAGCGGGGAUUAAUGCAAAACGGGAGGAAUCCUAAAGAAAGAACCCGAAGGGCGGGAAGGGGGCCUUGGGGUUGUAACACGUUUCCGAGUGGAACGAAGUGUAGGGGGCAGUAAGGGAGAAGGAAGGCCCGCGGAAGUCCG